rnacentral:rRNA from 1 species
GACGAACGCUGGCGGCGUGCUUAACACAUGCAAGUCGAACGGAAAGGCCCUGCUUUUGUGGGGUGCUCGAGUGGCGAACGGGUGAGUAACACGUGAGUAACCUGCCCUUGACUUUGGGAUAACUUCAGGAAACUGGGGCUAAUACCGGAUAGGAGCUCCUGCUGCAUGGUGGGGGUUGGAAAGUUUCGGCGGUUGGGGAUGGACUCGCGGCUUAUCAGCUUGUUGGUGGGGUAGUGGCUUACCAAGGCUUUGACGGGUAGCCGGCCUGAGAGGGUGACCGGCGACAUUGGGACUGAGAUACGGCCCAGACUCCUACGGGAGGCAGCAGUGGGGAAUAUUGCACAAUGGGCGGAAGCCUGAUGCAGCGACGCCGCGUGCGGGAUGACGGCCUUCGGGUUGUAAACCGCUUUCGCCUGUGACGAAGCGUGAGUGACGGUAAUGGGUAAAGAAGCACCGGCUAACUACGUG